CGCGCACCGGCACGCAGUCACGCGCAUGCACACAGGAUGCCUUGGAGCGGGCGCACUUCCUUCUUUCUGUUUUCGUUCUCGUGUGUGCUCUUGCCGCUGCGCCUACUGGCUUUCAUCGUUUUUGGUGUCUCGCCGCGCUUCCUCGGCCUCGCAUCCGACCCGCCCCCACCCCUCCGCCGCCACGCAAGAAGGGGCGUGGGUGAGCUCGCCCUCUCUUUGGCGGCCUCCCUCGCACUAGUUUUGUGUCGAGAUGGGCGAAGCGCAGAUCGCCUCUCUAUCCGCCGGCCCCCCUCUGCGCCGCUCUGCAGAGAUCGACUCGGCGCCUUUGCUGUGCUUGCAUUUCGACUUGCCAGGUGAGUUGAGCACUGGAGGUGGCGGGCAUGCGCGCACUUGCAAGCUCGCGCGCAGAAGUCCAUUCGGGGUGUGCGUGCGCGUGCUGCAGCCGAGAUGGGGGGCGCUCGGCAGUGCGCUGCAUGUCGGCCUCUGCGCCAGGGGCACUUCAGCGCACAUCCCCUUCUUUACUGAUUCGGAGGAGAACAGGAAAAGCGUAAUGCGCGUAUGCGCGAGGUACUGAGAAGCCCCCGACACGAAAAGACGAGGCGGCAUCGCGUACCGCUCGGCUUACGACCCCCUUGCCUCACGCUUGCCUGCGCACAGCCGCCUCGCUCUGGAGAUGGCUGUGCUCUCUGCUGACGCCCGACCCCGCCUCCUCAAGGGCAUGGGUGGGGAGAGGGGGGCGUCGCCACGCGGAGACGCAGAGGACCGCGCCCGGGGCGUGUGGGGGGCGGAGGAUGGCGAGAGAAUGGACGUGCUUGCGCUCGGGAAAGGGGAGGGGGCGAGGGUGUGAGCUGUCUGCCGCUAGAGUGGAAGCGCGGAGCGCGAGGGAGGCAGAGCCGACGUCGAUGCGGCUUCGCGCAUCUGCGGCCGCUGCCGCUGUAGGAGCUGGGAAGGCAGAAACGGUUGCGCCCCCGGUGCCGGCUGCCCGCUCUCUUUUGUGCGCGCGUUUGUGCAUGUCGGCGUUGCCGGCCUCGCGAUGAGGCCAGCGCCUUGUGCGAGCCUCCGCGCGUGCCGACUGUGCGUUGACGCCAUGCUGUGCGCACUGCAUCUGCCUUUACCACCUGCCUCCUUCUUUCCUGCCUUGCUGCUCUUGCCGUGUUCCUCAACGCCGUGCCGGGGCACCUGUCGUGGUCGACGCACCGGCAUCGCUUCGGACGCUUCGCACCCCUCCCGCCCUUUCCUGCAUGAUUCCUUCCAAC
rnacentral:misc_RNA from 1 species